CCUCAUACACAGGAAGGAGGUGUAUAUGAGGAGGUUUCUAAAUGCCAGUCUGGCAGCUGAAGGUGGAAGGAUUCCUCCUGGAAUAACAGAUGCACAAACAGCCAGCUCAGUGCUCUGAAGGCUUCCUUGGCUGAACACUAGCCUGGUGUCCCUGCCAUCACUCCUACCAGCAUUGCCAAAGCUAAGAAGAACACAAAUGACAAUAAACUUUACCACACUGAAAAAUGUAUGCAGAGAGUAGCAGAUAAAUGUAAGUUUGUUUGUUGUGAGAUGUCUGUUUUUGUUAAAAUCACCAAGUGUAUGUAUGG